rnacentral:rRNA from 1 species
AUUGAACGCUGGCGGCAGGCCUAACACAUGCAAGUCGAGCGGAAGAAGGGAGCUUGCUCCUGGAUUCAGCGGCGGACGGGUGAGUAAUGCCUAGGAAUCUGCCUGGUAGUGGGGUAUAACGUCCGGAAACGGGCGCUAAUACCGCAUACGUCCUGAGGGAGAAAGUGGGGGAUCUUCGGACCUCACGCUAUCAGAUGAGCCUAUGUCGGAUUAGCUAGUUGGUGGGGUAAAGGCCUACCAAGGCGACGAUCCGUAACUGGUCUGAGAGGAUGAUCAGUCACACUGGAACUGAGACACGGUCCAGACUCCUACGGGAGGCAGCAGUGGGGAAUAUUGGACAAUGGGCGAAAGCCUGAUCCAGCCAUGCCGCGUGUGUGAAGAAGGUCUUCGGAUUGUAAAGCACUUUAAGUUGGGAGGAAGGGCAGUAAGUUAAUACCUUGCUGUUUUGACGUUACCAACAGAAUAAGCACCGGCUAACUUCGUG